GGCGGCAUGCUUUACACAUGCAAGUCGAACGGUAACAGGUCUUCGGAUGCUGACGAGUGGCGAACGGGUGACUAAUACAUCGGAACGUGCCUAGUAGUGGGGGAUAACUACUCGAAAGAGUAGCUAAUACCGCAUGAGAUCUACGGAUGAAAGCAGGGGACCUUCGGGCCUUGUGCUACUAGAGCGGCUGAUGGCAGAUUAGGUAGUUGGUGGGGUAAAGGCUUACCAAGCCUGCGAUCUGUAGCUGGUCUGAGAGGACGACCAGCCACACUGGGACUGAGACACGGCCCAGACUCCUACGGGAGGCAGCAGUGGGGAAUUUUGGACAAUGGGCGAAAGCCUGAUCCAGCAAUGCCGCGUGCAGGAUGAAGGCCCUCGGGUUGUAAACUGCUUUUGUACGGAACGAAAAGCCUGGGGCUAAUACCCCCGGGUCAUGACGGUACCGUAAGAAUAAGCACCGGCUAACUACGUGCCAGCAGCCGCGGUAAUACGUAGGGUGCAAGCGUUAAUCGGAAUUACUGGGCGUAAAGCGUGCGCAGGCGGUUUUGUAAGACAGUGGUGAAAUCCCCGGGCUCAACCUGGGAACUGCCAUUGUGACUGCAAGGCUAGAGUGCGGCAGAGGGGGAUGGAAUUCCGCGUGUAGCAGUGAAAUGCGUAGAUAUGCGGAGGAACACCGAUGGCGAAGGCAAUCCCCUGGGCCUGCACU
rnacentral:rRNA from 1 species